UUGCUCUUCGUUUUAGGUUAAUACCUAAGGUUAGAACAACAGAGACCCAGGUUCGCGGUACUUUUUCCAAAAAUGUCUAUCCCUGAAACACGAUGUUUGCCAAAAGGUAUAUUUCAGAAGCUGGGAUCACUCACUGGCAGACAUACAGCGCACAGGAAUUGAAGCUCCAGCUCAUCCGAGGGAGAAACGACAAAAAAUUUACUCCCGUUUAAAAUUACAAGAAUACUUUAAUUAUUUAUUUAUUUAUUUUUUGAAAAAGGAGAUUGUUUAGUUGCUGUUAAAUUGCUGUCCCAUGAUAUUCCUCGUUCUGACUUUAUAAAUAACAGAAUUAGUCAAUUAUUGUUGGCAGUAUUCAAGAGGAUUUUUCGUUAGUCUGGUGGCCCUUGAAUGUAAGGGCUUAGCUUUCAUUGAAAAAGGGAAAACGAAAACACAUCACUGUGGACGUAAAGAAAAUAACAAUUAUUGUCAAGGUAAAAAAAAAAAAUGAUACUCUGUAGAAUGUAUCAAUUGUACAUUGUAUCGGGCUCAUAGUAUCAGUGGAUUUUGCCUUUCAUUUAAUAAGUUUUAAUUUUUUUUUUUCAGGAAACUUAAUGUGUACGAUUAUAGGUACUCUUUCAUUUGGCAAAAAGGUUAAAUACUAAUAAGCCGCGUGAGUGUUGGCUGUAAUAUUACCUAAGGAGGCACUCUGUGUCUCUCACUGUAAUAUUAUAGGAGUCGGGGGAGCAAACAUUCCAUAUUUGCUUUUGCCUGAACGCCUCCAGUGAGAUCCAACAAUGGUGAAACUAUCGUUGGUUAGCAACUGGUCAGACCUUCCACUGUUAGUGUGAGUCCUUUGUCUCAGCUGUUUAUUUCUCACACCUACAAACCCUUUCCUCUUUAGGGGGCUAGUUCUGCCAGUGCACCUCACACCGUGCACUGUAGGCAUUUCUUUAUUAGGUUCUUUGUGGCGUCCCUUCGACCCGUAGUUGUAACCCCUUUCAUUCCUUUUACUGCACUCCCUUCAUAAUCUCUCUAUUCCAUCUUGUUUAUUUGUAUAUAUGUAUGUAAGUAUGUAUACAUAAAAAUAGCCUUCCUCUGCGUGAAUGGUCCACUGUCACACGAACUGGAGAAGUCUUGAAACGAGAAGAAAAGACAUCUAUCUUUCCCCUUUGUGCUGCUUUGCUGCAAUUUCCCGUUAUUUUGAUUAGACGUUCAUUUGUUUCCGUUCACACAUCUAUCUGUUCAACUUGGUUCGCUUUGAUUUGCUGUGCUUGGUGAAUUGAUCAAACAUUUAGCACCUUUCUUACCUUUUCGAAUUACUGUAUGUUAGCAUUCUCUUUCUAGAGUGUGUUUCAGUCAUUUGAUAAACCUGGUAUUUAUUUGACUUCAAUCUGUAACUAUGCUUGGGUUUUAAACUUUCAAUAUGUUCGGGAACUUCAUAAGUUCAAGCGAAGAUGCAGUGCAUAAUGCAAUUCAACUUAUAUUGUAAUAUUUCACUUGAAUUGUUAUCUAUUUAUUGAUUGGUUAAUUUAUUUUCUAAUAACUGAUCGUCUCCCCCCAUAUUUCCCAUUACCUUCUGUCACUUCUUUCAAAUGAACACCAUAGUAUUCAUUGGAAGGGUGAAUUUCAAGUCAGUGGCUCGUGUGAGUAGGGCCCCUCUUCUGAAUAUAAUGAUAAUAAUGAUAAUAGGUAGAAGACCAUCUUUCAAACAGGUACUGUUAAAAGAUAUUGCUGCAUCAGCUGAGUAGAUGAUUUUGUAGAGUUUUCUCUAACUUACUUAUGAUAGCUUUCUCUUGGGUACUACAGUUAACAAGUAAAGUUCCAAUUCCAGGCAUAAUAGGGAUAGUGAAAUAUGAUGAGUAAUGUGCAUACAGUUUAAUUGUAAAACUAAUAUUUAAUGAAAUAAACUGAUAAUGCCAACUUUAAUUUAAGUUGUACAAGUAAACUCUAUUGGCAUUACUCUCUGUAUUUCACUACCCCUAUUAGUUCCUCGUUGUACGAGUGGUUUUCGUGCACGGCUACCAAACCGGUUGGGGCGAAGUUCGAUCCUCGGCUCGGCCAAUGCGGAAGUAGAGGAAUUUAUUUCUGGUGAAAGAAAUUAAUUUCUCGAUAUAAUGUGGUUCGGAUCCCACAAUAAGCUGUAGGUCCCGUUGCUAGAUGACCAAUUGGUUUCUAGCCACGUAAAAAUAUCUAAUCUUGGGGCCAGCCAUAGGAAAGCUGUUAAUCAGCUCAGUGGUCUGGUUAAACUAAGCUAUACUUUAACUACCCCUAUUAUGCCGGGAAUUGGAAGGUUACAUGUUAACUGAGGUACCCAAGGGAAAGCUCUCAUAGUAAGUAAGAUAGAGAAAACACUACAAAAUCAAUAUGGCUGAUGCAGAAAUAUCCUUUAACAACAACAACAACAACAAUAAUACCCUUACCAGAGUUGUUUGAUUUUUCAGCAGUAUUUUGCCAUUGUUACCAAUACACUAAUGGGUAGUUUCUCUUCCGUCCCUCUCAGAGGUUUAUUGUGCAUCCUUUUUGCCAGGUUACUGUUAAGAUAUUCAAUUAUUGUUGUGAUUUUUAUCCUUCCUCUUCAUCUUGCUGGUGUUGGUCAAUAUCUACAGUACCUUCUUUAGCUCUUGCCCAGUCGUGUUGGGAAGGGUGGUUAGUUUUUGUUAAUCCUGCAGUUCAUUGAAGACAAACCCUACUAAUUUUUAUAGCUGUAAUAGAUGGUUGGGUCUUUCAUGCUCUCAACUGAGCGUUCAGGCAUAAGUGAGGGUGAGAAGUUUGUUUCCCCUGAAACACAGACAGGAUUAAUUCGGUCCGGACUUUGUAAGGCUACAGUUGGUAAAUGUAUUCAUAUGUAUGUAUGUAUAUACCAUAGUAUGUAUGCAUACAUAUAGAUAAAUGUGUGUAUAUAUAUGGAGGUUUAUUAUAUGUAUACAUAUGUAACAUAAAUGUAUAUAGGUGCAUGUAUGUGUAUAUAUAUGAAUAUAUAAAUGCGUAUCUAUAGUACUGGUAAUCUUCUUAGACACGAAGAUAUGUUAUUCGAUUGUAUUCCACACUGGCAAAUGAAAAGUGAUUUAGAAAAUGUCCAACAGUUUCGUCCUCCAGUGGACCUCCUCUUGGAACGUUUAUUGAGGAAAUAGAGCGAGAAAAAUUAAGGCCUAAAAUCUUGAACAUAUGAAGUACCGUUACCAGAAACUAGCAGUUUGAACUAUCCCAAAAAAAUGACAGUAAAAUAAUACAAUAAAACAAGACUGCAUUGUAGUUUUACAAAUAGAAAAUACCAAAAUAUCAAAUAAGGUGUUCUGUCCAUUUGAAACAGCUUAACACUAAGUAGAUAUGAAGAAGCUUAUAAUAUAUGAUAGUUAUGGAUAAAAUUAAUCAUUUUGUACUGACGUCUCAUGAGUUGUUAAAGAAAAGGCUCUAAUUUAUAGAAACCUGGCGAAGAAUUUAAAUAACCGCAGGGGGUUGAUUAUGGACUCUGUGGGUUGGUAUGGGAAAGAUAUAAAAUUCAGCUUUCUGUUUUUCAUAAAACUCGGCUUUCUGUUUCUCUCCCCAUAUGAGUAAACUGAGGUCCUUUGGAGUACGAAGCUGUUGGUAUAUUUUAACAAAAACACUUUUCAAUUUGCUAUGUGGAAUACAAUUAAAAGACGUGCAUAUAUAAUACACACAUUUACAUUUAUAUCACUUAUAUUUAUAUAUUACUUCUCUAUUGUUUUAAGAGAUAAAGAAGGUUGUAAUUGUUAUAAUGUGUUAAAAUAUUAUAAUGUGUUGAAUCAAGUGAACCUCCUCGGCUGUGAAUCCAGAUAUUUUACAUUCUGUAAGGUUAAAAGCUUACGAGCUAAUGCUGAUAAAAAAUUAGUUGUAAAAGCUAAGUCUUCAAUGGGAAAUAUAUUGUCAUCAUGUGAGUAAAAGCUAAGUCUUCAAUGGGAAAUAUAUUGUCAUCAUGUGAAUCUCAGAUAUACAAAUAUCAUUGGUUCUCUGCAGUCUUGAAGUGUCACUCAAUGAAAAUUUAUUCCGAGGUAAUAUUUAUUCUUGCUCUUCAGAUCAAAUAUGAAAUUGCAUAUCUGUAUUUAUUGUACACAAAGAGAAAUUAAUGUGUUUUGGCCUUAUUGCAUUUGAAGUAGAGAUGGAUUUCCAAAGUAUAGGAAGUGUUAGACAUGGAGGGUAUAUAUCUGUGUGUGUGUGUGUUAUUGCAAAAAUCAUCAUUUCAAAUGGACCACAACCCAAGAUCCCGUAGUCGGGCACUGCCAUCAGUGCACAUCAAGUGCACUUUGUGAUUACUUAAGAUUCUGUGUAGCGUCCUUUCGGCCUGCAGCUUGCAACCCCUUUCAUUCAUUUUUGUGUACCUCCGUUCAUAGUCUCUUACUGUACACCCUUUUUUAACAAUUUGUCAUAGUGCAACUGCCAAAGGUUUUCCUCCUGUUACACUUCUAAAGCCUUUUUAUUCUCAAUUGAGCUUUCAGCGCUGAUUGACCUCAUAGAUCCCAUCUCUUGACUUUUGGCCUAAAUCUUAAAUACGGCACCAGAAGGAAGGAUUGCUAGGUGCCAUACUUUCAUCUUUGCCGUCUUCAAUUGUGUAUUUUGGUGAGAUUUAGAAUUUGUGGUAACUUCUGUGUUUAGAAAUAUUUGUGUAACUUCAGAUUUGAUGUUUGUUUCCCAAUUUUCAGAAUAGGUUUUGUUCUACGUAAAACCCUGUCCUGAAAGUUAAUUUUAAUAUAGAAUCAUUAGGGAUCCUAAUCUUAGGAUGGCAGGUGUUCCCUUUUGAUUUUUUUAUUGAACCUUCUCCUCUGCCAUCAGCCUUGUUUGUUCAUUCUCUCUCUCUCUCUCUCUCUCUCUCUCUCUCUCUCUCUCAUGAACAACUAGA